CUUCUUUCUUCCUCUUUGGUGAAAGGUCACAACCUCCAUCAUCCAUGGCAGAAACUUGCCCCUCCAAUUUGAGUAAGUUCUUAUAUCUCAUUCAAUUUUUUCUCACAACACGUGAAGCCUGCUGAAUCCGUCCAAACCUCCAACGUUCGGAUUCGAACGGAUAUGUUGACCAAGAUUUCGAAUCCGAGAAUCCGAAAUUUCAAAUUCCCGCUCUACAGAAAUCCUUGUUGUUUUUCACCUAUAAAUACAUCCUAAAGUCUCAGCCGAGGAGGACAUCCUGGAAUCUCGAAAAAAAUCAUAUUUACACUUUCAACUUUUGUAUUCUAUCUCUCUCAAGUUUCAAUUCGAAAUACAAAAGGGUAGAUCUGAAACGACCUCCGAGCCUCAGUUUCACUGCCCAACAAAAGGUAAAUUCGACUCUGUUCUUUUUAAUUUUGCUAUUACAAUAUUGUGUUUAGAAAUCAUGUCUUUAGUAGUUAUAGCUAAAAUCUUCUAAUAGCAUGUUAUUAUUCAAAUCUGUUGAGAAUUAUUUUUUUUAGUUAUGGCUUCAAUUACGAAUCUUAGCUGUAGAAUAGUACUAUUUCUUCAAAGUUAAUUGACUUGUUAAUUGAACUUGUUUGAUUGUAAGUUAUUGAUUUUGUGGUAGAAAAUCUGUUAAGAAGUUUAUUAAAACACGACUUACGUCUUUAGACACCAUGUCAUAAGAAAAUCUUGUUACCAAUAAGUUCUGCUGCAAGUCUUUGGUAUGUUAAUGUGUAUUCAUCUGUUUAGAAACUUGGUUAACAUGUUUGGCAUUUUAUUAUUUGAAAAUAUCUAUCCAAAAGUUCCCCUUGUUACUUUCACAUGUCUAACUUGUUUCCUUUUAAAUUUGGGUGUAUACUUCCUGACAUUGUUUAUACAAAAGUAUGUCAUAAUAGAAACUACAAUUUUCUUUUAGCUUCAAGAACAGAGUACUACUUAAGAAUCUAUAUCUAUAAGUACAUGCUAAGUGUAUAAUCCAUACUUAAAUGCCCUGCUUUAAGUCUCUUUCGUCCUUAGAUUAGUAUGAUAUGGGAACUGUGACUAUAGGAAGUCUUUGCAUUUGUCCUACAUAAGUUGAACGGAAUAUUUGUAUAAAAUGUCACUGCUAUAGAUAUUAAAAUUACUAAUAAGUUCAAUUAUUAGUUUAGGAGCCAUGUUGUAAGAUCAUUCUUUCACGUUCGAAAUGCCAUGUGCGUAGUUUGUCCCUUCACGUUGUUAUGACUAUGUUUAAAGAUACUUGUCAAAAUGUAGCUUGAAGUUCUGUUAAGCUUUAGAUAUAUGCAGGUUUGUUGACUUGCUUAAAUCCUUUCUAUGUUAAAUUAAUACUGUCUUAUAAGCUUCUUCAUUUUUCAUAUAGUAGUCAGAAUUGAAUUUCUUAUUUUCUAAUUCUUAUUCUCUUCUUAUUUUGUCAUGUACACUUUGGGAGCAACAUGGAACCUUAGUGCAAGACACUUCGUGCUUGAGUCAUCACAUCCUAUCUUCUUUAACCGCAUCAGAAAAGAAGAAAACAAGCGAGAAAAUCGCUUGGCCUAUGGCAUCUUUCCUAUGUUUUAUUUAUCAUUUGUUCUAUUUUAACUCUUCUAUGAUUGCUAUGUUGAAAUUCACACUCAGAAUAGGAUUAUUAGUAAAGUUUUACUUAAUCACUUAGGUUCUUUCCUCUAUCUCAUUAUAGAAGUAAUUGUUUUAUCACAUAUAAUAGGACAUCUACUUUCAAGACUUAGAAGUCAAUUUACCCAAAAUCUUUUAUAGAUUAAUCUAUAUUUGUUUAGCUUAUUUAAAAGAUUCAAAUUUAACUUUCUUAUAAAUAACGCUUAAAUCUCUUUCCCAUUUUUUGUCAAAUGUUCUAUCAAAGUUAAAGCUCAAAGCUCAAAGCUGGUCAUAUUGGAAUUCAUUUUUAUAAAGAUUUUCUUAAAAAAUGAAAUAUGCUUUUGUCCAUCGGACUAAUUCAAAUUUAGAUAAUUGUAAUUGGUGCCUAAAUUAAUGAACUAAGUUCGGAAGGCAACCGCAAAUUUAGAUAAUUGUAAUUGGUGCCUAAAUUAAUGAACUAAGUUCGGAAGGCAACCGCAAAUUUAGAUAAUUGUAAUUGGUGCCUAAAUUAAUGAACUAAGUUCGGAAGGCAACCGCAAAUUUAGAUAAUUGUAAUUGGUGCCUAAAUUAAUGAACUAAGUUCGGAAGGCAACCGCGUUUUAUACGGAUUUUAAGGGGUACCUCACACCUUCCCCUCAAUUUAACUAGAAGCCCCUUAAGCAGAAUUUUUAGUCAAGUCGACCUUAAUGGAGUCUUACUUUCCAUACUUAAUUAAUUGAUUUGGGUUACCUAAUUCACCCUUAAAAUAAUUAGGUGGCGACUCUUUUAAUUCAAUAAUCACCAAUAUGUUAUACGCUAAUUUGAUCCGUGUUAUAAUGGUGUAUAACAUGCAGAAGCUGGUGCUUCGCACCCGCGGAGGAGCUGUCAGAAGCGGGCGAAGAUGGAGUUGGGGAAGAGCGCAGGUGCGCAAGAGGGACCGUAGAUGCGGAAGGUCCCAGGCUGAAGGAAAUCGUAGAUGCGAUAUUUUUGACCGCAAUGGCAGAACCACAAAUGCGGUUAAGUGACCCGCAGAUGGAAAAUUACUGGCAGAGUUUAUAUUCGACGUGUUUGAUUGUUUUUCUUAUUUUGGGAGUUGUGGAGCUCGGCUAAGAGUGAUUUUUGAGAAACAUUUUGCUGCAAUUGAAAAGAUUUAAGUUGCACGGAGGUCGAUUCAUGUGGCAAGGGCUUUUUGGAGUACUGCUCUUCGCGUUUUGAGAUUUUAGGUCUUUCUGGACCCGGUAGCGGGUGUUGAUUGCUCAGUGGCAGAGUCAUCGGAGUUAGCAAGAUCCAGGUACUUCGGUGCAUGUUGAUUGCUAGAGUUGAUUUGGUUCUAGCAUUUUGGACACUACGAGGUAGCUGAUAUGUUGUCCGCAGACCUUGAAGUUUUCUUUCAUUUAUUUAUGUUAUUACUGUAAGCACGUGAUUUUCAGACAGUUGUAUUGAGGAUUUGGUCUUGUAUUUUGAUAUUCAGUAGCGUCCAUGUACUCGCUGACACCAUAUCAUUGGGAUGGUUGUAGAAAUAAUAGUGUUGUUUCCCAGUUAUUU